UGCAGUCGAACGGGUCCUUCGGGACUAGUGGCGGACGGGUGAGUAACGCGUGGGAACAUACCCAAAGGUACGGAAUAGCCUCGGGAAACUGAGAGUAAUACCGUAUGUGCCCUUCGGGGGAAAGAUUUAUCGCCUUUGGAUUGGCCCGCGUUGGAUUAGGUAGUUGGUGGGGUAAUGGCCUACCAAGCCGACGAUCCAUAGCUGGUUUGAGAGGAUGAUCAGCCACACUGGGACUGAGACACGGCCCAGACUCCUACGGGAGGCAGCAGUGGGGAAUCUUAGACAAUGGGGGAAACCCUGAUCUAGCCAUGCCGCGUGAUCGAUGAAGGCCUUAGGGUUGUAAAGAUCUUUCAGUUGGGAAGAUAAUGACGGUACCAACAGAAGAAGCCCCGGCUAACUCCGUGCCAGCAGCCGCGGUAAUACGGAGGGGGCUAGCGUUAUUCGGAAUUACUGGGCGUAAAGCGCACGUAGGCGGAUUAGAAAGUCAGAGGUGAAAUCCCAGGGCUCAACCCUGGAACUGCCUCCUAAACUACUAGUCUAGAGUUCGAGAGAGGUGAGUGGAAUUCCAAGUGUAGAGGUGAAAUUCGUAGAUAUUUGGAGGAACACCAGUGGCGAAGGCGGCUCACUGGCUCGAUACUGACGCUGA
rnacentral:rRNA from 1 species